rnacentral:rRNA from 1 species
CCUGCUAGUUGUGCGGGUUUAGACCCGCAGCGGAAAGCUCAGUAACACGUGGCCAAGCUACCCUGUGGACGGGAAUACUCUCGGGAAACUGAGGCUAAUCCCCGAUAACGCUUUGCUCCUGGAAGGGGCAAAGCCGGAAACGCUCCGGCGCCACAGGAUGCGGCUGCGGUCGAUUAGGUAGACGGUGGGGUAACGGCCCACCGUGCCCAUAAUCGGUACGGGUUGUGAGAGCAAGAGCCCGGAGACGGAAUCUGAGACAAGAUUCCGGGCCCUACGGGGCGCAGCAGGCGCGAAACCUUUACACUGUACGAAAGUGCGAUAAGGGGACUCCGAGUGUGAAGGCAUAGAGCCUUCACUUUUGUACACCGUAAGGUGGUGCACGAAUAAGGACUGGGCAAGACCGGUGCCAGCCGCCGCGGUAAUACCGGCAGUCCGAGUGAUGGCCGAUCUUAUUGGGCCUAAAGCGUCCGUAGCUGGCUGAACAAGUCCGUUGGGAAAUCUGUCCGCUUAACGGGCAGGCGUCCAGCGGAAACUGUUCAGCUUGGGACCGGAAGACCUGAGGGGUACGUCUGGGGUAGGAGUGAAAUCCUGUAAUCCUGGACGGACCGCCGGUGGCGAAAGCGCCUCAGGAGAACGGAUCCGACAGUGAGGGACGAAAGCUAGGGUCUCGAACCGGAUUAGAUACCCGGGUAGUCCUAGCUGUAAACGAUGUCCGCUAGGUGUGGCGCAGGCUACGAGCCUGCGCUGUGCCGUAGGGAAGCCGAGAAGCGGACCGCCUGGGAAGUACGUCUGCAAGGAUGAAACUUAAAGG